AACUGGCUGUGACAUCUGUCCCCCCAUUGAUCACCUGAGUUGACUCCGAUCUCACUGGCUAGGCAGGUGGUCCCAU
rnacentral:sRNA from 1 species